rnacentral:rRNA from 1 species
UAGGAAUCUUCCGCAAUGGACGGAAGUCUGACGGAGCGACGCCGCUUGGAGGAGGAAGCCCUUCGGGGUGUAAACUCCUGAACUGGGGACGAAAGGCCUGGAGAGGGGGAUGACGGUACCCAGGUAAUAGCGCCGGCCAACUCCGUGCCAGCAGCCGCGGUAAUACGGAGGGCGCGAGCGUUACCCGGAUUUACUGGGCGUAAAGGGCGUGUAGGCGGUUUGGGGCGUCCCAUGUGAAAGGCCACGGCUCAACCGUGGAGGAGCGUGGGAUACGCUCAAGCUAGAGGGUGGGAGAGGGUGGUGGAAUUCCCGGAGUAGCGGUGAAAUGCGCAGAUACCGGGAGGAACGCCGAUGGCGAAGGCAGCCACCUGGCCCAUUUCUGACGCUGAGGCGCGAAAGCGUGGGGAGCAAACCGGAUUAGAUACCCGGGUAGUC